UACGGGGGGAGCAAGCGUUGUUCGGAUUUACUGGGCGUAAAGGGCGCGUAGGCGGCCACCGCAAGUCAGUUGUGAAAGCUCUGGGCUUAACCCAGAAAGGUCAACUGAUACUGCGGGGCUAGAGUGCAGAAGGGGCAACUGGAAUUCUCGGUGUAGCGGUGAAAUGCGUAGAUAUCGAGAGGAACACCUGCGGCGAAGGCGGGUUGCUGGGCUGACACUGACGCUGAAGCGCGAAAGCCAGGGGAGCGAACGGG
rnacentral:rRNA from 1 species